rnacentral:lncRNA from 1 species
UAGGCUUUUAUGCCCACAGUCUGUAACGCUUCUGGUACCUUUGAGUAUUUUUCGGGCUUUUUGCUGUUUAGACCUCUCUCUAGGUUAGCUAGUCCAGCGCCAGCGGUCAAUUCGCGAGGUUGGUGUCGUACCGAGCUCACUUUUUAAGGUCGGCUUGGGACUGUGGCGCUUUUGGUUAUUAUGCCCCGAGCUCCUUCGGGAGGUCGGAAUCUUAUUUUUCAUCGGUAGCUUAGGGCUCGUCUUUCGUGUGAGAUCGGAGCCAUGUUUUUAUGAGUUGUCCCUGCAUAUGAUAUUGGAAAUUUUUGCACUGGGAGGCCCUUAGGACCUUCACCGACCGUUUUUUGUUUUGUUUUCCCGGAAGUUCUAAGGGAUCCCUGUCUUCUUUGUUUUUCCGGGAGUUCUAGGGGAUCCCGGUCUUCUUUGUUUUCCCGGGAGUUCUAGGGGAUCCCGGUCUUCAUGCCCCGUGAGAUCUUUCUGAGCCCUGUUCUCUCUUUUCUAUGGAGGAUUAGGAUGCAUAAUGAUAAUAGAGAUAAUCUUAUUGUGCGAACAAUGGUGUUGUUUUAUUCAUUCAUGUUCGUCAAAGUACAGUGCUUCUCUUUUACAAAUAUAUCAG